rnacentral:rRNA from 1 species
CUUCGGAUCUAGUGGCGGACGGGUUAGUAACGCGUGGGAACGUACCCUUCACUACGGAAUAGUCCCGGGAAACUGGGUUUAAUACCGUAUACGCCCUUCGGGGGAAAGAAUUUCGGUGAGGGAUCGGCCCGCGUUAGAUUAGUUAGUUGGUGGGGUAAUGGCCUACCAAGACUACGAUCUAUAGCUGGUUUGAGAGGAUGAUCAGCAACACUGGGACUGAGACACGGCCCAGACUCCUACGGGAGGCAGCAGUGGGGAAUCUUAGACAAUGGGGGCAACCCUGAUCUAGCGAUGCCGCGUGAGUGAUGAAGGCCUUAGGGUCGUAAAGCUCUUUCGCCUGUGAUGAUAAUGACAGUAGCAGGUAAAGAAACCCCGGCUAACUCCGUGCCAGCAGCCGCGGUAAUACGGAGGGGGUUAGCGUUGUUCGGAAUUACUGGGCGUAAAGCGCACGUAGGCGGAUUAGUCAGUCAGAGGUGAAAUCCCAGGGCUCAACCCUGGAACUGCCUUUGAUACUGCUAGUCUUGAGUUCGAGAGAGGUAAGUGGAAUUCCGAGUGUAGAGGUGAAAUUCGUAGAUAUUCGGAGGAACACCAGUGGCGAAGGCGGCUUACUGGCUCGAUACUGACGCUGAGGUGCGAAAGUGUGUGGAGCAAACAGGAUUAGAUACACUGGUAGUCCACACCGUAAACGAUGAAUGCAAGUCGUCCGG